rnacentral:tRNA from 1 species
UGGCUCAGUGGUAGAGUGCUUGCCUUGCAUGCAUGAGGCCCUGGGUUCAAUUCCUCG